UUUUGUGUCUUUUAUUCCUGCAUCUCUGCUUCUCCCUCCCUACUUCCCUUAAUCUCUAAACCCUAGAUUCUCCAAUACUAGAAACCCUAAAUUAUGAACCUCUCAAAUCCAAAGCCUUCAAAUUAACCCGGGCAGCCAUGUACGAGUCAUCAAUUGAAGUUUCGAAGAUCGAAAUCAUAGAGCUUUAUCAGUUAAAGAACUCACGCAGUGUAUCCUUCCCCGGAGAAUUUGAUGGUUCGCCGAAAAUGUGUAGCUUUGGGCAAGAAAGAUUUAUUGGGCCACCUCCGAUUAGCAGGGACUUUUGAGAGGAGAAGCAAGAGAAGGUAUACACCAUUAUGAGCAAUAAGGGGCAUUGAUGCCAAGAGGCCCAAAGUUUUUCUGGAUCUUUUUUUGUUCCUUUGUUGCUGUGAAGAAUAUUGGUCAAGAACUAGUGGCAGAUUCCUUCAUCAGUAUCUUUCUCAAAUCGAACAUGGUAAACCGAUCAAAAGAACGUUUGAAGCAGGCACUAGAUGCGGAAUCGAAAAUGAUAAAACUAAAGACAAACAUGCAAAGGCUUGAAAACAAAAUUUGUGACAUGGAAUCAGAAAAUAAGAUCAUUUGGCAACAAUCAUUGUCUAUAACACCCGCUAGCUCUACAUCAGAAUUUACUCCAACAUUUAUGAUUUGAUCAGGUAGUUUUACCUGUCUCCUGAUCUUUUGUGUUUCAAUUCAUUCUUCAAGUCAUAUAUUUUAUUUAUAGACUUUUAAAAACUUCAGUUUGUUUGUGCUAUAGAAAUUGCCAAAUGGUCACCUAGUUAAUGAAGAUUCUGAAGUAAGUGGAGGCUUUAUCCUCUAUUUUAUCAUCUAGAAUCUUGUUGCAUAACAUAUCUGUCAUGUCUUUACUAUACUUAUUUAGGGUGUCUAUUUAUACAGAUUUCCAAAUAGGAGAUUGUCAAGUGUGUGGAGAUAGCAUAAGAGCAUAGUUGAAUGUGGUGUUUGGUUUUCUUGGUGGUGAUUCUAGGAGUAUGUGGUCCUUGUUGGUGCUACAACGUGUGUGUAUUAUGGAAGCGUCGAUGCAAGAGAAUACUGAAUAUGACAAGCAACAAUCAAGGAAGCCAAGCCCAGUAGGAAGCAUUGAAACUAGACCUGUUAAAGAUGUGGGAAUGUCAUAUCAACAAAAAAUAAUGUUUGGUUUUGUUACAUUAUAUUUAUUCUGUAACUGUGAAGAUCUUUUUAGCCAAAGGAAAUCCUCACUUUUUGUAAUUAUCGUGAUCUGGUCAAAUAUAAUGUGAUUUUAAAGAAAAUGGGGGAAUAGAGAACGGUUAACUAAGGAAACUGUCCUCAGUGAAAAACUCAUUAAUAUAAACAACUCUGUUUUAUUGCUUCUUAGGCAAGAAGUACUUUUA